CCACCGCCGAACUCCCGAGUCCCGAACUUGCUUCUCUCCCGAGUCUCGGCGUCUCCGGUCUUUCAAGCUCCACCCAGCCCCCACUACCGAGCUCCGCCUCCAGCCUUUCAAGCCCUACCCAGCCCCCACCGCCGAGCUCCACCUCCAGCCUUUCAAGCCCUACCCAACUUGGAGGUUUUCCGAGUCCCGAACACCUUGUGCAACAACCUGCAACUAGCAAUUUAGCAAACCCGUCUCCGGUCUCCGAGCUCCACCUCCAGGGCGGACAAUGCCGAAUUCCUGACUGGCACUUCAAGUCUUCAAGCUGCAAGUUUUGAUCUUGAAUGCUUGAUGUUGAAAUGGGUUUGACUGUUUGAUAACUUGAUUUCCAUUUAAUUAAGUUUGUAACAACUUGCAUAAUUGUAUCAGUUGCACUCGGUCACUAAGGUAAGUGAAGAGAAGCAGAGGCCACAAUUCCAUUGAGAAAGCUUGAAAAAAAAAAAUAAAGGUAAAUACCGUCAUUAAAUAUUUAAGUCUUGCUAUUUUGAUAAAUGUAUUGGCAUUACUAUCAUAAUUGAAAUUUUAGGUGUUACAUAUAUGUGAAUUAUAAUUGUAUUGGCGUAAUGGAUUAAUGGCAUUGCUCUCAUGUAUCUAAUAUAAUUUUAAUUUUGUAUAUGCAUUUGAGGGGUAAGGCUCAUUAUAUAAGCAAAAAUCCCAAAUUCUUAGUUUCUUCGGGAAGCCUCUAUCAACAUCCAUAUUCACUGUUUCGCAGCAUCAAACCCAGCCAUCAAAAUCAACAAUCUCCCACUAACUUCAGCCUCUAUCAACAUCAGUCGCUCCAUUCCAAUUUCAGUUCGACAAGCCGCUAACUUUACAAGUGCGCUUUUACAAUCAUGGCAUUCAAAUCCCCGAUUUAUAUGAGCGGAAUGGAUGUUUGUGUUUUCAAUGGCCAUAUUAAAAUGGCAGAGUGAAAUCACGAGAAAGAAGGAGAAGAAGGAUUGGGUCUGGGUUUGUUUUGGAUUGCGCAUGACACCAUACAUCUUGAGUUCAGAAAUGCUGCCGUUAUGUCAA